rnacentral:lncRNA from 1 species
UCUCAAAAUAUUUAUAUGGGCAGUUGCGUCUCAUCUACGUGAGAGUUUUUUGUGUGGAAUGUUUGACCAAACCACGUAAUAUAGAGAGAGAUAUGAGCGUUUUCGUGUGAUAAGUGACGAUGGAUUAGGGUUACACGUUUCGAUCGAGUCCUUAACGUUGUCGGAUCCAGUUGAAUUUUUUACCAUAGACAUCUUUCGUCAUAAUGAUCAUAUCUGACGGUCGAAUUUUGGUUUGUGAAUUUUAGUCAUCGGAAUCACAACGUGUCUACUAAUGUUGUAUAACUUGUUUAGUAGGUUAUACAACUUUGUGAACCAACUCUAUAUAGGAAGCAAAAUUAUCAAAAAUCUCGUGAAAUAAGAUGUGUUCAGAAUGGUGAAAUACGGCUAUGGUUCAAAAAUCACGUAAAUCGGGUAAAGUCUCGGUGUCGAUAGUAGCGGUCAACCCUAUUUACCGUUAUUAUUCCCUAUGGGGAGCCCUAUCGUCGGAAGGUAAAUGUCUCAAAAUUUUUAUAUAGGCGGUUGCGUCUCAUCUUUAUAUUACCGAAGGUGGAUGGUAAGAAGUCUAUUUCGCCUGCCAGAUUUUCUUCUCGACCUAGCUCCGCCGUCAGGCCACCGGAGACCGCCACACUUGUCCCAAAAGCUUCACCGUCGUCUCUACUUCAUUGCUGGACAUGUGGUGCAUCGAGUGGUGCCGCCGUGAGAGAUAAAUCGAGCUCCAAAACUCCGCCGGUUCGGAUUCUGUGUGAGUUUGAUUAGUACUACAUUCCCCUAGAAUUUGGUAGCUCGAUUCGGUGUGUGUGAGGAGAAUCGAAGAUUUGAAGUUUUUAGGGUUUAAAAUUGGGGAUUUUUAUAUUUUGAUUCAAUUGACCUGUUUAGGCUUAGAAUUGAGCUUCGACUUCUUCUAGAAAGUUAUUCGAAAUGUUGAGAGGAAGAUUCUGUCAAAUUUUGGUGGUGAUUGGAGGUGGCUGAAAGUUUCUGCAGUUUUUUUUUUCAAAAACCAGCAACUUUAGCCGACGAUAUUUAAAGGUUUAGCCGACGAUAUUUAAAGGUUUAUUCGUUGGCUACAGUAAUUUUAAAUUUUUUUAUAAGGUUUAGCCGACGAAUUAUGGCAUAUUUCGUCGGCUAUAGUUAUUUUUAAAAUUUUUUUAUAAGGUUUAGCCGACGAAACAGACUAUAUUUCGUCGGCUAUAGUUAUUUUUUAAAAUUUUUUAUAAGGUUUAGCCGACGAAACAGACUAUAUUUCGUCGGCUAUAGUUAUUUUUUAAAAUUUUU